rnacentral:piRNA from 1 species
AACGUAACCUUGGGGUCUGUGGUC